UAUGGUCACAUCACAUUGAAACACUGGUUCCUGUACAAUCACCAAAGUUAAGCAAUAUUGAGCUUGGUCAGUACCUAGAUGAGUGACUACUUGGGAAUACCAGAUGGUGUA